rnacentral:rRNA from 1 species
GACGAACGCGGCGGCGUGCCUAAUACAUGCAAGUAGAACGCUGAAGGGAGGAGCUUGCUCUUCUUGGAUGAGUUGCGAACGGGUGAGUAACGCGUAGGUAACCUGCCUUGUAGCGGGGGAUAACUAUUGGAAACGAUAGCUAAUACCGCAUAACAAUGGAUGACCCAUGUCAUUUAUUUGAAAGGGGCAAAUGCUCCACUACAAGAUGGACCUGCGUUGUAUUAGCUAGUAGGUGAGGUAACGGCUCACCUAGGCGACGAUACAUAGCCGACCUGAGAGGGUGAUCGGCCACACUGGGACUGAGACACGGCCCAGACUCCUACGGGAGGCAGCAGUAGGGAAUCUUCGGCAAUGGGGGCAACCCUGACCGAGCAACGCCGCGUGAGUGAAGAAGGUUUUCGGAUCGUAAGGCUCUGUUGUAAGUCAAGAACGAGUGUGAGAGUGGAAAAGUUCACAACUGUGACGGUAGCUACC